GCGCGGCGGGCUCCUAAGCGUGGAGCACAAUAGUCAGGCGGAGGAGCUUCUGUGGCUGAAGGGCCCCAAGGCGGGGUCUCUUCCCGUGGGCCGGGCUUGGUUUUGAGGGAGGGCUUUUCUUUGGCUUGCUCGCUUGGUGUUUCCUCGGUGGCACGUACCUUCGAGAGCUGGGUGAGCUCCCGUCUGUCCAGCUUCAUGAGGGAAGCCUCCCACAGGAUAGUAACAUAUCCUGGCGCCCCCCUGGGCAACAUCCUUGUAGACCAGGCAUGGGCAAACUUCGUCCCUCCCUCCAGGUGUUUUGGACUUCAACUCCCAAACACCCGGGAUCACAGGGUUGUUUUAUGUUUUCCGGCCUGUAUGGCCAUGUUCCAGAAGUAUUCUCUCCUGACGUUUCGCGCACAUCUAUGGCAGGCAUCCUCAGAGGUGUGAGGUACCUCGCAAUCUCUGAGGAUGCCUGCCAUAGAUGUGGACGAAACAGAGCCGGCCCUAGGUAUUUUUCAAGUGUAGGUGAACAGAAUUUUGGUGCCCCUCCCCCAAACCAAUCACUGAAAAAUAAAAAUGUUGAAUAGUAAGGAGGGAUUAAGGAAAAGCCUAUUAAACAUCAAAUUACAUUAAGAUUUUACAAAUUAAGCACCAAAACAUCAUGUUUUACAAGAGAUCGACAGAAAAAGCAGUCUCAACUGUGCCCCCGUAUGUUUUGCGCCCCAAGUGACCGCUUAAUUUGCCUCAUUGUUGAACCAGCUCUGGGACGAAACGUCAGGAGAGAAUACUUCUGGAACAUGGCCAUACAGGCCGGAAAACAUACAACAACCCUGUGAUCCCGGCCAUGAAAGCCUUCGACAACACAAUUGUAAAAAGCUUUUGCUGUAGUCCUGUUCCUAAUAUUUGUUGGUAAUACAUUAUAAGAAGGCGUUAACAUUGCUUUUCUGUGUUAAUAGUGCUGAGGAAAGUAACCUAAGGAGUUGCCUUUACACCCAUAGUAAAAUAAUUUUAAAUUUAUCCUUGUUGGGAAAUAUCAUGAAUUCUCAAAAUAAAGGAACUUAAGUUCUAGAAACACCUAGAUAGUCGUGUUGCAACUUGAAUGCCAAUACAGCCAUUGUUUGAUCAGAGUCGCUACUGUGUUCUUUACUUACAAAUUAUUAGUGCUCUGCUUCUGAAGAGACAAGAAACAGUUCUGUUUACACUCUGAGAUUAAGAAAGACGCGACUACCUAUCUCCCAGUCCUCGGAUAGUCACAAAAUGCACCAGUGACUCAGCCGAAGUAGUUAAGACUCAGCUAACAGAUGGUUGGCAGAAGCUGGGCCUAACAGUAGAAGCUCACCCUGCUUCCCGGAUUUGGAUUGCCAACCUAUUGGUCAGCAUGUUCAGCAGCUCAGCGGUUUAACCCACUGCGCCACCAAGGAGCCCUUCUAACAGAUGGUAGUUUCUCCCAUUCAUUUGGCAUCAUCAUUCCAAAUAUGCAGUGGCUGCAUGUUUGUAAGCAUAAAAGAAUUUGGAAAGCCCUUGUUUUCUUUUAACAUUUUUAUUCAUAAAUAUUUUAAUAAUGUUUUACUGCAGUUUUGAAAUGGCUUUGGAAUAGUAUUGGAAAAGCUAUGCGAAGAGUAAAGGCAAAAGGAGAAGAAUUCCAAAGUGUCAGAAAAUAGUUUGAAAGAGAAAGUAAGACAUCCCCUCAUGAUUUUGUUAAGCAUUUUUCCUAGGCAAACAGAGUGGAAAAUAUCUUUUAAAAUUAUCAAAUGUAACAAAAAAUUACAGUUCAAGUGCUCUUCAGAAGCAGUAGUUAGUUGUUUCUAGCCACUUUAACAGAUAGGUUUUUGUGUAUUUAAGAAAUGUGGGCCUUAUAGAGCAACUUGCCCCUAAUAGGCAGGAUGUUUAUUGAACAUUCUUCUAACAUCUUUGAUACAGAUUUUAAGAUACAUAGAUGAAUGCCAGAUUGCCCACGCCCCAGUUACCAUCUAUUUAUAUUCCAGGUACGUGAUCGUGUGGCCCACAUGCCUUAAAUACCAUCUGAUAUUGGAAGCUAAAGAGGGUCAGUCCUAGUUAUUACAUGGAUUGGAAACCCAACAAUGAAUACCUCAUGCUGCAGACUGUAUUCCAGAAAAAGGAAUUAGAAAAACCAUGCCUAAAUAUUCCUUCUCUAAGAAAACCCUAUGAAAUUUAUGGGGUCAUCAACAAUCAACUUGAAAGACACUAAGAAAGCAAUUGGAAGGCACAUGUUGAUAUGACAAUGGGGGACUUUGCUUUUUCUAUAUUUGUAAACUUUCUGAAGGGCAUGGCAAGUAAGGCAAUAUAUACACAUUUUAAAUACUGUAUAACUCCCAUAUCUGUGAGGUCAUAUAUCUGAACUUACUGUGGAAACAGGAAACUGGAUAAUAGUGAACAUCACUAAAAUGAACAACCAGAAGUUACCAUACAAUUCCUCUAAGAACUUCCUAGAGAGGUAUAAUCUAAUGAAUUUGCCAGCAUGAUUCUGUGAUAACUUCCUGUGAUCUAGAAAAUUCCUAGAGAGGAUGGGGAUUGCAUUGUCAAUAAAUUUUGGGAAUCCCUUCUAAAAUGCUGCAAUAUAUUCUGUUUUCAGUGAUAUAACACAUAAAAUGCUAUUUCAGUCAUUACCCCAAAUUAUUACAUGUGGUUCCCCUGCCAGAUCACCUAGCAGUUGUUCUUCCUUUAUAUUAAAGAUUCCCAAACUGGCACUCCAGGUGUUUUGGACUUCAGUUUCCAGUGGCUGACACUGUUGGGAGUUGAAAUCCAAAAUACCUGGAGAACCAGAGUUUAGGAAUUACUGCUCUACAAGGACAGCUAGUCAGGUGGACAUUUACAAACUUGUAGUUAGGUGACUACCAUUACACCUCUACAUGACUUUGAUUUUGACAUGAACAAAACAAAAAGUUCUGAGGCGCUUGGGGGAAUUGUGCUUCUUGAUGACAAGUUCCAGAAGCCUUUACCAUCAUAACCACAGGUUGGGAACAUGAAGUCCAACAAAAUCUGGAGGGCCUCAUGAUCCCCCCCCCCCGCCCCCCUGCUUACAAGCAAAAGUAUUGCCUACCCAACCAUCAUCAGUGAUGCUGCACGAAUCCCAUUGUUGUUAUAUCUUACCAUUAUCAUUUAUUUCAAACUAAUCAAUCUAAGGAUAAAUGCUUAAGUCUUCAUAAUUCUAAGAAUUCUCACAUCUCUUUUUUUAAAUGUGAUCUCAAGAUUUAAUAAAGACUGAUUUAUUAAUGAGUUUUUAA